UUGGAUUUUUAUUACCGGGGCUUUGGAGAGGAAACAACCAACAACCCAGGCCCUCUGUUCCUCUGUUCGGGGGUUUGAGAUGAGUCAUAGCCCCACGUCAGGCGCGUUGUGAUCCCAAGCCCAGGAGAGGCGCCCAGGAGACAGAAGGAUGUCAGAUCAAGCAAGGCCAGUCUGAACUACACAGUGAGAAUUGAUCCCAAAGAACCGAACCUGUGAAGCCCGCCUGCUUCUUUUCGAAAGGACCAGGAAUAGUCUCCAACCGAUGCCAGUGACAAGAUGCCAUCUCCAAAGGACUUAGACGUUUAACCAAAUACACCGAUCUUACAGAUGAGUUGAGUCUCAGGUUGUCAGUCUGCUUACCACAACUCACAGAUGUCCAGACUGACAGACCACGCAGGUGUUCGUGGCAUCCUGAUGGGGACAGGCUCAGAAAUGGCCAGGAAAGAAUGAAGGCCACCCAUGGAUCACAAGGAUGCCAGCCUGUGCAAGUCCUUAAAGGCUUCCACGGGCUUCGGCAAAUGCACAUGCUCAGAACUGCUUUUCGGAGUUGUUCCUGAGUCGUCGCAGGAUUCGUCGUCAAUCCACUUCACCAGCGCCUUGAAAACACACACACUGCAUUUUAACAGAUACCGGGGCUGCACGGAGAAACCAUGUCUCAAAGGACAAAAAGCAAAACAAAGCAAAAAAGCAAGAAACAGUAAAACAAUCUCAGGCUCCAAAACUGGCAUCGGAAUCAGGUUUUCUACCUCUGUGGUUUGUGCCCAAUGGAGUGAGUUAUGAGUUCAAGACACGAGUGACACCCAGCUCGGACCAAAACUAUAGAGAACAUAAUGCAAACGACGGUCAGACACUGAGUUCCUUACAUCUAUAAUCUCAACAUUCAGAAAAGGCUGGAGAGCCAGGAGGACUGCUACAAGUUCACAGUUACCAUAGUGAAUUCCAGUCUAGCCUGGGCUACAGCAUGAAAUCCCACCUUACUUCAAAAACAAAACAAAAAACCCACAAAGGAAAAUAAACUAUACUAAUUCCUACACUAUUUUAGGAUGACAGGAUAAUCAAAAUUUUUUGUCUCAGUUUGCUUACUAUCCCC